GAGUUUGAUCAUGGCUCAGAUUGAACGCUGGCGGCAGGCCUAACACAUGCAAGUCGAACGGUAACAGGAAGUGCUUGCACUUCGCUGACGAGUGGCGGACGGGUGAGUAAUGCUUGGGAACUUGCCUUUGCGAGGGGGAUAACAGUUGGAAACGACUGCUAAUACCGCAUAAUGUCUACGGACCAAACGGGGCUUCGGCUCCGGCGCAAAGAGAGGCCCAAGUGAGAUUAGCUAGUUGGUAAAGUAACGGCUUACCAAGGCGACGAUCUCUAGCUGUUCUGAGAGGAAGAUCAGCCACACUGGGACUGAGACACGGCCCAGACUCCUACGGGAGGCAGCAGUGGGGAAUAUUGCACAAUGGGGGAAACCCUGAUGCAGCCAUGCCGCGUGUGUGAAGAAGGCCUUCGGGUUGUAAAGCACUUUCAGUUGUGAGGAAAAGUUAGUAGUUAAUACCUGCUAGCCGUGACGUUAACAACAGAAGAAGCACCGGCUAACUCCGUGCCAGCAGCCGCGGUAAUACGGAGGGUGCGAGCGUUAAUCGGAAUUACUGGGCGUAAAGCGCACGCAGGCGGUUUGUUAAGCUAGAUGUGAAAGCCCCGGGCUCAACCUGGGAUGGUCAUUUAGAACUGGCAGACUAGAGUCUUGGAGAGGGGAGUGG
rnacentral:rRNA from 1 species